AUAGGUGCCCUUUAAGUUGCUUCAGUCCAGUAAAUGAUCUGAUAUUACUAACAAUAUACAAGAUAUUCUUACAAAAAGACACGUGUACCACGACCUGAAGGGAAUGUUUUAACAAUUAUGCUAAAAGGCCUUUUACUUGCUAAGUUAUAAAGUGUCAAUCAGAUGACUGAAGGCAUGUAGUAGAUUGUGUAAUACUAUCUGAAGUUCCAGAGCACCAUCAUCUUUAUGAUAUACAGUAUGUCACAUCAGUGCACACUCACAUUUGUGUCUCUCAUCCAUACAGGUGCAAAACCUGCACAGCUGUGUCCAGGUGAUCAACGACUUCGUCUCUCCGGAGCACGUGGUGCAUUCGUUCCACUUAACCCAGGAACUCAGAUCCUCCAAAGAGGAAAUCAACUAUGAAGAUAAGCUACAGGUCAAGAACAUCUUUUACCACUGCGUGAAGAAUGCCGUGGGAACAUUAAAGAGGUGCUGUGCCGAGGAAGAGGAGACGAACUCAUGACACUCGUCAACACACUCCCCCAAAUAUGCACACUAAAGCUCACACCGCGAACCUCCAGUGCCAAGCAGAGAAAACCCACCAGUAAACUGUAUUUAUUUGUUACUGACACCAUAGCAGUAUAGCGCAUCAGGAUGACUGUGAUCGACACGCCACACACGUCUGAAGAAUCUAGUGUUUGUUUGUCUGUUUGGUUUCGUUCCCAUUUUGCUCUUUCAUACUGUAUAGUUUCAGUGGAGAAUCGUAUUUAUUUUUAGGAGUUCUGUGCUCUGUUCUCGAUCAAAUGUAAAUGUGACUUGUACAGUUUGCUAAUGGAUUUCUGAUGGCGCUCACUACUUUGGAGUUACUGUGAGAGAGAUCCGCUGUCUCGUGUCCUCAUGCCAUAUCUUUUGAGAAAAGAACUGCCAAACAAUUGUAAACAUUGUAAAGUUCUAUUAUGUAAAGAAAGACUUAAUGAAUAACUCACUUCAACAUUUUAUUAAGUAUUCACUGUAAAAUGGAGACAUUUACAAAAAAAAAAGUUGUAAUUUAUUUAAGAAAAAACUGUCGUUUCUUUCUCCUUUUUAUGUUCAGAUUUACUAUGGCGAACUUUUGAAGUUCAAUGGAAAAAGCAAAUCGUACUAUGCUGUGUAAAUAUAUACAUAUAUACAUUCACUGAUGUAUUUUUUUAAACAUGGCUUGCUUCAAUUUCAAAUUUUAAAGUGCAAGUGUUACAUGCUUUGUACAUUGAAGUUCAAAGGGGUUUUACAUUUUCCAUUAAAAUGGAUUUAUCAAAUAUCUGCUUGCCUUUUGCCUUCUUGACAAGAUGAACGGUUCAAGAUAACAUGUUCAAUGUUUGGGCAAUAUAUACAUUUAAAUAUAUUCUGGUAAUCAAAAUGUAAUGAUUUGCUUUGCCUCUGAAAUUAUUGUUAACCAAUAGCCAGACAGUCUGCCCACUUUUGAACACGUGCGGUGUCAUUCACAGAUUGAACACCAGAGGAGGCUGUUAAGCUUUUGUGGGAAUUUAGAAACUAUGAAAUCAACACUUGUUUGUAUUGCAGUCACUACCAUUUCAAAGUCUCUGAUAAAAGAGUUUUACACAAACCUAAAAAGCAGUACAAUUGUUUUUACAUGAAUACCUUUCAAAAUCAGUGCCCAAUUUAGACCUGUUUGCAUCAGUGGGUCGUUGACAUGCUAUGUUCCAUCAAAAAUGACUUCAAACAUUCUUUUAUAAUUAUUACGAAUGCAGCUUUUUGUGAGCUCAUACUCCAUAGACUGGAUGGAAUGUUUGUACUAUUGUAAUAUACUUUCAAAAUAACUGAAAACAGAUUCAUGCUGCCACUUGUUAAAAUCUUUAAUUCUUGUCAGAACAAGAAAACUCAAAAAAAUUAUACAUAAAUUCUUGUUUUCAAUAUCUUAAUCAUAUACGUACAGCUACUGUAGAACAGCCAUUCAUGCAUCAAAACACUUUCGUCAUAUGAUUUUCAUUGAUUUUUACAUCACAAAACAAAAAGUAAAAUAACAAAAUCUAAUGCACCCUGAUUACUGUGGUAAACCAGUAAUUAAACAUUGAAUUAAAAACAAAAUAAUAAAAAGAGCAAAAUGUGGAUUUGGUUCCCUCUUCAUGACACAAAUAUAAGCCAUAAAUUCAUCUCUUCCCAGGCGCGUCUGGCACAUGUUGGUAGCUUUUGAUUAAUGUGAGGAGUGAACCUGGUUUAUUGUUAGAGCAAGGUAUGAUUGUGCAAUCAGUUACCUGAAAAUAUUAACACCGUGACCCAGACAAUCCUUGAUUGAUGAGUACAAUGAAGCUUCAAACAAACCAAAGAGCCAAGCUUUCAGGACAUGUCCAUUCCUAUGCUGUUUGCAUUGCGUCUGAAGAAUGACACAGCGGAGAAGUGAGCGGAGAUGAGAAACAACAAAAUGAAUGAGUGAUUCUGUUGCACUUGACCAGAUUAUUGCUUAUAGUUCCGAAUGCAAUAGUCUCACGCUCAUGUCCAGCCUCCUGUAGAAAUGAUCCACCACUGUUUUUGUUUAAUAAGUUGCUACAAAUCGUCCAGAGAUGACAUCAUGACUGGGCUUUGUACUAAUUGCAAUAAGGCAAAACAAGUGCUGCAAGCUGGUUAUCAGUGUACGGAAACAGAAUGCAUAACUAAUUGCAUUGAGGCCUCUCGGCUUCCUCUAUGCCCUAAAUCUGCGCUGUUAAUAGACGACUGAAACUGCAUAACCACAACGUCGACAACGAUGGUGCUGAUCAACAGAUACUGCACAAAACCCUCACACACACUCACACACACACACACACGUAGUUCACAGUGUGUGUAGGAAAUAGUUUUUCGAUUGAAAGUGGGAUUUUGCAAGAGGCAAAUUCACCUGCUGAUAAAAAGUCUGAUAACAUAGUGUUCGACAGAAUCUCCGAUAUCCCUUUUCACUCGUACUUCAUAACAAAAAAAAAAUU